GCAGGGGUAUGGGAACCUGUGGGAGAGGGAGUUUGUGAUCCACCUGCAGAUGGGACCUAGUAAGUUAAGUUUGGAGAAUUUCUUUUGCAGACGCUCAGGGAUGAUGGUAUUGAAGGUUGAACUCAAAUCAACAAAUACAAUCCUGACAAAUGUUCCAGUGGAGUCAAGCUUCAAGAAAAUGAAAAUCCCGGAGUGAAAAGUGAUAAUGACGAACCCUGCGAAGUUUCCUGUAACUGGAAAUUCAAACAGGCAGAUACCAUUGUGAAGCAUGCUUGCACAGAGAUACAGCACGGUUACAAGCCUUCCAGCCAACUAAACCUGUGCGACCCAAUUACACCCAUGUAAUUAACCUACUGACCCGUAGAUCUUUGGAAUGUGAAAGCAUACCGGAACACACAGAAGAAAGACAUGUGGUCAUGGCGAGAAUGUACAAACUCCUCGCAGACAGUGGUGGGAAAUGAACAAUGGUUGCUGACACUGUAACAGCAAAUAGUCUACUUAAAUAUCUCUUCAACGUAAUGAUUGUAUCUGAUUCUGCCUUCUACUCAGGCAGUG